CGCCUGUAAUCCCAGCUACUUAGGAGGCUGAGGCAGAAGAAUCACUUGAACCUGGGAGGCGGAGGUUGCAGUGAGCCGAGAUCGCAGCACUGCACUCCAGCCUGGGCGACAGAGUGACCCUGUCUCCAAACAAACAAAAAAAUAGCAAAUGCAAAAUUUUAAGAAGUUAUAUUUUCUUAAAUUUUCCAAACUCCUAAUAGUGAUAUUAACAAUUUAAUUCAACUAAUCACUUGUGGACAAUAUCCCAAAAGUAUCAUGAAGCUAAGAAUAUUAUGUCUCAGACUGUUUCAUAAAUCAUUUUAAACGGGGAAAAAGGCCAAACGAUUUACCGGUAAGCACCAUCAAUCAAUCAACAAAUGAAAAACUCUGGUUAUACGUCCAUGAAAAUUUUGAUUUCAAACUAUUUAUUACAGGGCGCGAGGCUGUGUUCCGCCUCCUCCAGCUCCUCCUGAUAACCUUUUGGUUAUCAGGCGUCAACUGGAGACAACAAUCAGUUAAAAUCCAGUAAAUUUGGGGUUAAUGAAACAAAUGUUAAAAUAGAUAUAAUAUUGAUAAACAUUAGCCAAGAGAUGGUAACUACCUAACAUUGAUUAAGUAAGCAAAUAAUCAAGGCAGAGGUUUUAGCUUCCACUAAUCUAUAAAAGCAAGUGAAAAUGCUUUGAAAAUUGCAUUUUUAUGCAAUUGUUUCAAUAUCAUACCUUUGUAUGUAACAUUAAAAAGCUCAUGAUUACUUCAUUUCAAAAUUCAGAUGAGUCACAGUGCUUUCUACGCAGGAAUUGGAUGUGAAUCAAAAUUGUAAACAUGCACUUGCUUGGUAGUCAAAAAGUGAAUGUGGACAGAUACAAUGUUCGUUGACACAGUAAAACAUAAUCAUAAAAUGCAUCCUGUGUUUUUAAAAUAGUUACUUCCUGUUAACACAGUUCAGGAAACAUGCCAUCUACCCUCCUCUCCUGGAAAAUCUCAAAAUUAUACUAAUCCCAUUCCUCUUCUUACAGAUAGGCCACUGAAACCUGGAGUCAUUACUGAUACAGUUAUCAGGAUUACACCCUCAGAGCCACGAUGGUUUCAGGGAUACUAGAACCUGAAAAUAACAAAAAAAAAAAAAAUUUCCAACUCAAAUCUAGACAAUAAAACUAACAUAUAAACUGGAAUAAAACGCAGGAAAUGCCGAUUUUAAUACCUGGUAUGAGGCUGACCAUUAAGGCAUCCAUCAAAAAAGUUUGGAAUGUAUGAAUGAAUGACUGCAUGAAAUUGGCAGGAUUUCAUUCAUUUCAAAAGCUCCAAAUUCAGGAACCACACUGAGAUAUCAGGACGCCACAGCUGAAACUAAAACUCAUGAAGGGUAAAUGCAACAUAACUGCACGUCUCCACGCGUUAGCUGCUGCGAAAAUUUCAAAACAUACAUCUAACAUACUCUUUCUUCAAGUAAUUGCCGCAAGUGCGGACGGAGCCAGAGAACUAGGAGACUGAAAACAGGCCCUGCUCACCCAUAAGCCUUUGCAUUAUAAGUGGACAUGAUCUGAGUGAGUCACCGGGAAUGAGAAGGAGACAGUCACCCCAGGCCAGGCAGGACGCGGCCAGAAUCUCCUGCUCUGCCCCCAACUAGGGAACCGGUCGAAGGAGAGUGGGACGACUGCAACCUGCUGCAGCUAAGUAUGCAAGGAUCGCGCCGACCGGCUUCCGAGUCGAGAUCCCACUAAGUCCCACCGCAGUCACCACAGCCAGCCCUGCCCAGGGGCUCCCACGUGAGAAGGCUGUAACAGACAGACAGCAGCCACGAUGAAACACGCUGAAAAGAGCCAGCAGAAAAAAACGAGGAGAGACUGGUAUGACGGAGUGGAAUUCCGGUUGUGGAUGACAGAAUGGAAAUUUUACGCAAGAUGAAAGAGUUAAGACAAAUUACUCUAAAAAUAUCUGACUUAGUUGUUUCUAAACCCUGGGGCACCCUUAGGAAAAAAUAAAAAUAAAAAAACAAGUGCCUGGGCCUCAUCACUUGGUUGAAAAAGGUCUGCUGCCAGAUCUUGACAUUGAUAUUUUUCUAAGUUUCCAAAGUCAUUUUAAUGUGUAGACAAGAAGUUCUGUUUCUCAUUUGUAGGAAGAAUUUGGUUCCCCAUCACCUCAGAAAAGUAAUUAUGUAUCACAGACCGUUAACAGUUUUCCCAAUAACCAACUAUGCAUUCACCCUCUAAGAAUUUAUCUAAAUUAAUCUUGGGGCCAGGUGGGGGGGCUCACACCUGUAAUCCCAGCACUUUGGGAGGCCGAGGAGGGCGGAGUUCAAGACCAGCCUAGGCAACGUGGUGAAACCCCAUCUCUACUAAAAAAAACAUACAAAAAUUAGCCCGGCGUGGGGUUGCGCGCCUGCAGUCACGGCUACUCUACUCAGGAGGCUGAGGCAGGAGAAUCGCUUGAACCCGGGAGGCGGAGGUUGCAGUGAGCCGAGGUGGCGCCACUGCACUCCAGCCUCUGAUGGAGUGAGACUGUCACAAUCAAUCAUUCAAUCAAUCAAUAUUGAACCUACUUAAAGUUAUUCAACCUCUGUUAUCCUUUGCUUCAAAGGAGUUU
rnacentral:lncRNA from 1 species